rnacentral:rRNA from 1 species
UACGAAGGGGGCUAGCGUUGCUCGGAAUCACUGGGCGUAAAGGGUGCGUAGGCGGGUCUUUAAGUCAGGGGUGAAAUCCUGGAGCUCAACUCCAGAACUGCCUUUGAUACUGAAGAUCUUGAGUUCGGGAGAGGUGAGUGGAACUGCGAGUGUAGAGGUGAAAUUCGUAGAUAUUCGCAAGAACACCAGUGGCGAAGGCGGCUCACUGGCCCGAUACUGACGCUGAGGUGCGAAAGCGUGGGGGGCAAACAGG